CCUACGGGAGGCUGCAGUGGGGAAUAUUGGACAAUGGGGGCAACCCUGAUCCAGCCAUGCCGCGUGUGUGAAGAAGGCCCUCGGGUUGUAAAGCACUUUCAGUGAGGAAGAACGCCUGGUGGUUAAUACCCAUCAGGAAAGACAUCACUCACAGAAGAAGCACCGGCUAACUCCGUGCCAGCAGCCGCGGUAAUACGGAGGGUGCGAGCGUUAAUCGGAAUUACUGGGCGUAAAGCGCGCGUAGGUGGCUUGAUAAGCCGGUUGUGAAAGCCCCGGGCUCAACCUGGGAACGGCAUCCGGAACUGUCAAGCUAGAGUGCAGGAGAGGAAGGUAGAAUUCCCGGUGUAGCGGUGAAAUGCGUAGAGAUCGGGAGGAAUGCCAGUGGCGAAGGCGGCCUUCUGGACUGACACUGACACUGAGGUGCGAAAGCGUGGGUAGCAAACAGGAUUAGAUACCCGUGUAGUC
rnacentral:rRNA from 1 species